CCUUGUACACACCGCCCGUCAAGUGAUGGGAGUCGGGAGUACCCGAAGCCGGUUUGCCAACCCGUAAGGGAGGCGGCUGUCUACGGUAAGCCCGAUGACUGGCACU
rnacentral:rRNA from 1 species